GCGGCGGUGGCGGAAUUGGUAGACGCGCUACCUUGAGGUGGUAGUGGGAGCAAUCCUGUGGAGGUUCAAGUCCUCUUCGCCGCACCA
rnacentral:tRNA from 2 species